rnacentral:rRNA from 1 species
UACGUAGGUGGCAAGCGUUGUCCGGAUUUAUUGGGUUUAAAGGGUGCGUAGGCGGUCAUAUAAGUCAGUGGUGAAAUCCGGCAGCUCAACUGUCGAUGUGCCAUUGAUACUGCAUGACUUGAGUACAGACGAGGUAGGCGGAAUUGACGGUGUAGCGGUGAAAUGCUUAGAUAUCGUCAAGAACACCGAUAGCGAAGGCAGCUUACUAGACUGUAACUGACGCUGAUGCACGAAAGUGUGGGGAUCAAACAGG